AUGCUUGCUAAACAGGCUUGGCGUCUUCUCGAGAAUCCGGAUUCUCUAUGUGCUACUAUUUUGAGAGUCAAAUACUAUCCUGACGGUGACUUGUUGAACACUGACCUGAAGAAGGGAUCUUCCUUCACCUGGCAAAGUAUUAUGGCGGGUGUGAGCUCCCUGAAGCGUGGUCAUAUUUGGCGAGUGGGAAACGGGCAGAAUAUUGACAUUUGGGAGGACGCAUGGAUUCCAAAUUGUGCAAACCGUAAAAUUGUUACCCCUAAGGGAGGCCAGUUGUUACGGAAGGUAGCAGAUUUGAUUGAUCCAAUCCUAAAUAAUUGGGAUGAAGAUCUUCUCAGACAGACUCUAUGGCCUAUUGAUGUUCAGCGAGUGCUUACGAUCCCGAUAUCGCAACAUGAUAUGCCAGAUUUCAUAGCUUGGAAUUUCACAAAAAUUGGGAUUUUUUCGGUUCGGUCUGCUUAUUUUGUGGAAUGGGACCACCAAUAUGGGAACAAGUUACGACAUACCAAUGGGAUGGGACGUACCACGGUCAAUCCUAUUUGGGCGAGGAUUUGGAAACUUGCUUGUCCAGCAAAGGUUAAAUUAUUUAUUUGGCGUACACUUCACGGCAAUAUUCCGUGUCAUGUUAGCUAA
rnacentral:rRNA from 1 species